UCCAUCUGUAACACUUGAUGAUUGUGGAAUUAUUCCUUGAUUUGUAUCUGACCUGUUGUACUAAUAGUGUCAUCUCUUUGCAGGCUGGUAAAUCAAGGAGUGAUGGUUAUCAUGCAAUGUAUGAUGAGACCUAUUGAAUGGUUCUUAUAGCUUCUACCUUAUAGGGAUAAUGGGAUGCAUGUAUAUGCUAGUAUGUUACUGGUAUUUCCUCUUAUCUCCUUAGGAGACUCAAGUGUUUUUCACCCUUUAUUGAAGUUUUUAUUUUCCGUGUAACUUAGGAUUAGUUAUCUGUGGUCUGUUUAAUAACACUAUGACACGUCUGGUAUAUAGAUAAUGCUAUGCUACAGUAGCAGCCUGUUAAUUUUUCCUUUGUUAUACCUUCAACAAAACCCCUCCAUUAUUAGAUAAUUUAGGGAUGCAAUUUUCUGAUGCCGCUAUUGAUCUUGUGAUUUUUUUUGUAAACCUUUUUUCCUCUUAUUUCAUUGAUAGUAUCCUUGUAAAUAGUAAUUGAAGAUGAAAUAUUGUUGUUUGAAAUCUUGCCCAAAUAGGUUUAUAAGAAUGUUUACCUAUCUUUCUGGGCUUACUUUGUAAACCUAUUUUUCUAUAUGGGUAAAUAAUAACGAGAGAAAAGAAGGUAAAAUGUAUCUAUUUUUCUUUGUACACCUAUCUUUCUUUGUGCUUUGAGUUCUACCGUUAUUGUGCCUAAAAUCUUAUACUUGACGUAUAGAUGCUAAUGAUUUGUUGAUUAUUAACAUUAACACAUUAUCUUUGCUUUGGAAAAUUAACAACAACCACAAACAACUAGGGCACACCUAGGCUAUCCUUAAGGAGAAGAUACUCUAACUCGGGGGGUCUAGUCUCGCAAUCCAUUCUGCCGUUGAUUUACCCUCUGGCUAACUUUAUAAUGUAACUGAGGCCAAUAUGUUGAAUUCCUGUACAACAUUUUCUGCAUUAUAUCAAGCUUUCUAUGAGUUCUGUUGUGACAGUGUAUAUUUAGAAGGGCAGAGAAAAGUAUUGAUCGUUUUGUCAACAUAUAUUUCAGGAUACCUAUAUGGCCAUAUGCAAAGCUAAUCAUAACCUGCUGGUUGGUCCUUCCUUACUUCAGUGGUGCUUCUUACGUUUACGAGCAUUAUGUGAGAGCUUUCUUGCUCAAUCCUCAGACCAUUAACAUCUGGUAUGUUCCAAGGAAAAAGGACAUCUUCAGUAAGCCAGAUGACAUUAUAACUGCUGCCGAGAAAUACAUACAAGAGAAUGGAACACAAGAAUUUGAGAAUCUGAUCCAUAGGGUAUUUCCAUCUGUAACACUUGAUGAUUGUGGAAUUAUUCCUUGAUUUGUAUCUGACCUGUUGUACUAAUAGUGUCAUCUCUUUGCAGGCUGGUAAAUCAAGGAGUGAUGGUUAUCAUGCAAUGUAUGAUGAGACCUAUUGAAUGGUUCUUAUAGCUUCUACCUUAUAGGGAUAAUGGGAUGCAUGUAUAUGCUAGUAUGUUACUGGUAUUUCCUCUUAUCUCCUUAGGAGACUCAAGUGUUUUUCACCCUUUAUUGAAGUUUUUAUUUUCCGUGUAACUUAGGAUUAGUUAUCUGUGGUCUGUUUAAUAACACUAUGACACGUCUGGUAUAUAGAUAAUGCUAUGCUACAGUAGCAGCCUGUUAAUUUUUCCUUUGUUAUACCUUCAACAAAACCCCUCCAUUAUUAGAUAAUUUAGGGAUGCAAUUUUCUGAUGCCGCUAUUGAUCUUGUGAUUUUUUUUGUAAACCUUUUUUCCUCUUAUUUCAUUGAUAGUAUCCUUGUAAAUAGUAAUUGAAGAUGAAAUAUUGUUGUUUGAAAUCUUGCCCAAAUAGGUUUAUAAGAAUGUUUACCUAUCUUUCUGGGCUUACUUUGUAAACCUAUUUUUCUAUAUGGGUAAAUAAUAACGAGAGAAAAGAAG
rnacentral:lncRNA from 1 species